GACACGAUGGCCGAGUGGUUAAGGCGAUUGACUAGAAAUCAAUUGGGGUCCCCCCGCGCAGGUUCGAAUCCUGCUCGUGUCG
rnacentral:tRNA from 1 species